ACCAGCAUAGUGCAGUGGUUUGAGCACUGGACUACAACUCUGGAGACCAGGGUUCAAAUCUCUAUUCUGCCA